CUUCGCUAAAAACAGAUCGUGAAAUGCAGUAUUUCGUUUAAUUGUGAUAAAAUAAACAAAAAGAAGACAAAAUAUGGAGCUUUUACACCCUUGCGAUUUACUGAACUUAUUGCUUGUGUAUUUAAACUAAAGAGCUGCAUCAUUGCUGGAAUCAAAGGACCAUAAACCGCUGACACUGCUUCUAGCUGGAGUCCCAGACUGAAUGGCAAGGCAAACUGCCGGAGAGGGAGCCCAUAUGCUAUAUGCUCCGUUAUCUAUGCACUGCCGUAAAAACACAAAUGAGGAAAGGCUUUCUGUUCUAUUGCGUGUGUGUGUGUGCUCUUACUCGAUAGCUGGAAAAUUGAAAUUGAAAAUCUAUUGCGUUUUAUAGUAGUCGCCGGGAAUGUCAAGUUCAGACAAAGCUGGAUUAAUUGCCAACGCAGCAACUGAUGGAGCCAUUUUAAUUGCGAACGGAUUAAUUGGUUAAUCCUCCAGGCUGGCAACUAUAUCAAAGGCAGAGCCAGCCAGUUGCCAGUUGCCAGUCAAGGAUGAAGUCAAGAUAGCAACCACACACUCAAACACACACACACACAUCUGGAGCCGCACAAGGACUUACACUUACACUCGCACAAUCUUAAACACACAUACACAUAUCCCAUAUGCGACAAGUUGGCGGCCACAAUCUUGGAUUUAUACGGCUUCGAGUGCCUUCAGUGGCGGUUAAGAGGAAACCAACGCGAGUUAUUAGCUAGCUUGAUAGCUAUCCCAUGGCCCCACCUGAAUCCUGCUAAUCGACUGCCAACCACGCGAUGAUUACAAAAAUUUCCACUUGGCCGCAUAUUUUCCUGAUUAAUUCUAGGCCAAUAUAAAAUGCGCACCAUGAAUAUUUCAUACCACAAAAGCGCCACCAAAUAUGCCAAACCAAAAAUAUACAAAAAAAAAAAAAAAAACGAAAUGUUUAAGCAAAGGGCAUAGUAUAGCACAGCAUAGCAUGGCAAAUAAAACGAAGCUUACUUUAUACAAUUGGCAAACCGCAAACAAAGUGAAUUUCAUUUCAGUUUGCGGCCACAGACGUGUCAGUUUGGACACAUGAAUGAUGAAUUAUAUUCGGUGGUCAAUUUGGAAUACAUAUUUCACCGGCAAACCAGAAGCAAUAAAAUACACCCCCGGAAUAAUCACCAUGGUCCCGAAAAAUCGGGGGCAAAAACCACAGAGAGCUGUUUGCAAAGCUGAUCAGGAACUUGGUCUUGCCUUUUACAAUUUCAAGAGUCCUGGAGGGUCCUUUUUUCGGUUUGCCAAUAUAUAAUAUAUAGUAUACAAGUCGAUCGGUCGAACCUACUGGCUGGCAAAUAAUAAAGUGAUUUCGAUUUAAGCUUCCAACAUCAAUUCAAUUGCAAUGCCAAAUUGUUGUUUCCAACCCAACAGCGUUCACUGGGUGACUUUUCCAUUGCCCCAUUGACAAGGGGGCGUGGCAGAGGGACGGAGGGGCGGCUGGCGAGCCAGUGCUUAAUUGAAAAACGUAAUUAACUUGAAUUUUCUGCUUUUGGCGUUUAUUGCCGCUCAUUUGCAACGGGCCAUCCAAACGGUUAGGGUCGCCGUUGCAGCUGCAGUCUGCGUAUUUAUUUGCACUGCACCGAAGUGCACCGUGGAUGUGAAUGUGAAUGUGGAUGUGGAUGAGGAUGCGGAUGGUCAGCUCCAUGAUGAUGGGAUUGGGAAUUGAGUUUGCGUUGGAUUGGGUUUUUGGGCCAUGCACUGCACAACCCUGACUUGAUGAUGAUAAGGCUCCUGCUGUUUAGGGAUGGCAGACUAUACAGCAUUUAUUCGCAGUGUAGCCACUCGGAGGGCGGCUGACUUGCAAGUUGCAGCAACCAAACGGGGAGCAAGGACAGCUCGGCACCGGACAACAGCUCAGGAUGUGUGUAGGUAGGUCGUUGGUAGGUUGUAAGGCAGAUCGGUGGGUGGUGUUCGGUGAGUUGGGGAGUGCAGUGCAGACGAAUUAAUUAAAAAUUCCGAAAAUAUCCGGUUAGCUCUUUAUAACAGUUUCAUGUACAAUGCCGAACUCAUGCUGCAUUCGACAAAAUGUCUUUCGCCCACCUUUGUGAGUGUACUCUGGCAUCCUGCUAAAGAACUUUAACACUGCACUGCUGAAAUUUUAAAACUUCCCCGGGCGCCUCAAGAUGGCUUCAUCUACUAUAUCUGGCCGACAGCCAUUCAAACUAUUUUCGUUUCGGCCGUUUACCAGGCAAUCUACAUAAAUGAAUUCAUUUGCCCAUCCAUAUAUGCAUAUGCAUAUAUAAAAAAUGGAAUGCAGAGUGUACGGGUCGUAUACGCAAUAUUUGAUAUUUAUGCUCUAAUUGAGGGUACAACUUGAGGUCCUGGGCUUGGCUUAAAGUCAUGUUUGUUCACAGAAAUAAUUGCUGUUGCACAAAAAGAAGAGAAGGCAGUAAACGGAAGUGUUUCGGCAUCAAAUAUAUAUGAAGAAAAAUCAUUAAAAGAGAGGAAAAUGUAAAAGGUCGUAUAAAAAAAGAGGAAGUUAGAAAACGUUCUGUGCUGGUUCAAUCGGUCGAGUAUAAUGGCCAUUUUGCGAUAAAAAAUGACCGGAAUGCUCGUUAAAACUAAAAACAAUUGACCAGAUAAAUUAGCGGCAUUAAAAUACUGAAAGGCCAAAAAAUGGUCCAAAGACCGGAAGGAAAUGCGAACGAUUGAUUCAAUUAAUUGCCAAAUUAAAAGCGGAGCACAUUUUAUCCGCAAAAGGGAAGUAAAAUGGAAUAAAAGGCAAUGUUAUGACAAUGUUAGGAAACCAAAUAAUAAAUGAUGAAGGGGCUGGCUGGCUGGCAGUAACCGAUCUGGGCCGACACAAAGUGACAGCCGCCGGGGGCCUCACAAUUGAAUUUAUUAUGGCAUUUCGACUCGGAGAGCGUCAAUUGAAUGAAAGUGGACUAAAGCAAAAGCCCACCCACACACACACACACACACACUUACUCGUUUUCAAAAGCAGAGAGAAAGGAAGAAAGUCGGGCAAAGCUCUGUUGCAAUAGCAUCAUUAUUGGACUAAACCGAAACUAUUUGCCUCAAUGGGCCAAAAGCGCCACACGACACGCCAAAGGACACAGCCAUAGAAUCAAACAGAGAAAGGAGCAAAAACACAGACAUCUACGACUGCAGAUAGUAGAAAGGACAUGGACAUCCACAUCCACAUCCACGCCAGUGAUAGUCCAAUGCCCUCGGGGUGUACUUUUCGCCACUUUCGCUACGGCCAAAAGUGUUGACUGUCUUUGAUUUUGUUUGUCUGCCUGUUUUGGCUGUUGGCUGCUGACUGCUAGCUAUUGGCCGGUCAACUUUGGGCCUCGCUGGAGCAGAGGUUAGGUUGCCCCAGGGGGAAAGGGCCAACACCAGCAAUUACACACAGUUUUGUCAAUCGAGGGAAAGUUUAGAGACUAUGGCGCAUAAUCAGCAAAUGAAUCAAAAACCAGAUGGCUGAUAGACUCAUUACAGAGCGCUCACUUGA